rnacentral:rRNA from 1 species
GACGAACGCUGGCGGCGUGCUUAACACAUGCAAGUCGAACGGAAAGGCCCUGCUUUUGUGGGGUGCUCGAGUGGCGAACGGGUGAGUAACACGUGAGUAACCUGCCCUUGACUUUGGGAUAACUUCAGGAAACUGGGGCUAAUACCGGAUAGGAGCUCCUGCUGCAUGGUGGGGGUUGGAAAGUUUCGGCGGUUGGGGAUGGACUCGCGGCUUAUCAGCUUGUUGGUGGGGUAGUGGCUUACCAAGGCUUUGACGGGUAGCCGGCCUGAGAGGGUGACCGGCCACAUUGGGACUGAGGUACGGCCCAGACUGCUACGGGGGGCAGCAGUGGGGAAUAUUGCACAAGGGGCUGAAGCCUGAUGCAGCAACGCCGCGGGCGGGAUGACGGCCUUCGUGUUGUAAACCGCUGUCGCCUGUUACGAAGCGUGAGUGACGGUAAUGGGUAAAGAAGCACCGGCUAACUACGUG